UCAACCUGAAAGUUUAAACAAACCAGAGAGCCGGCAGCACAGAGCAGAGCUCACACACACACACACACACACACACUCAUAUUCAUAUAGCAGUUUAGCGCUGAGGAAACUCUAGUGAGCUGGACCGGAGAGCGAAGCUGAGGCAGAGUGAAACAUCUGUACCUGAAAAGCAGAGAUAAUUGAAGGAGAACCAGCCCGGGACGUCUCAGGACAGAGCUGGAGGAGUGGGGAUAGAACAGACCAGACCUUUGCAACCCCCUUUCACCCUCCCAACCCUUGUCUGUCCAGCCAAAACCUGACUGAAACUACUCAUUUUCCAGUGGCCAGAGGAUCUCACUCUCAGACGUCAGCUCACUGACUGAGAGGCUGUCUUGUCUGCUUCAUCACCAGUGGCUACAGCUGCACCAAUGGAAGCCCCAACCCUGGCUGAGAUGGGAGACUUGUGUCACCCCCGGUCUUCCUCUCCAGAGGGGGAGACAGUGUGUGCAGCUCUAGCCCGUUAUGAAAACACUCUGCGGGAUGCCAUUAGGGAGAUCCACGUGGACGUCAGCGCUUUUAAGCUGGGCAUGGAGCGUCGUCUGGAGGAGACAGCCAACCUGAGCGGGCCUCUUGGACGAGCUGUGGCUCAGCUCCAGCAGGAGAACCGGCAGCUCAGGAGUCAGCUGGAGGCUCUCACCCUACAGGUGGAGCUCAUGAGUGGGAUGAUGUGUGACAGGAGCACCUUGCUUAACAACAGCCACAAUCACAGUCAUAAUCACAAGAAUCACCUCAGUGACAUUCAGGAGAACCAUCAGGAGAUAAAAGAGGUGAUCUAUGGGAAGGGUGAGGCGCACACUCAGAGCCAGGCUCUGGUCCACAUCCAGCCCUGCAGCCUGGGUAGCAAAGCCCAGACUUACAGUGGCCUCAGCAGUCAGUCCAGUCCUGCGUCUCCACCUGCCUCCUUCUCAUCCUCCCCCAGCUCCAGCAGUCCUCCUGUUGGCUCCAGAGUUUCCUCCAUGGUGACGGGCCCAGUGUCAAGCAGCAGCCCCUCCACUGCCCGCUUCUCCAGCCGAGCCACAUUCGCUGUGUCCAGCAAGACUAACAGUAUUGAGCGAGAGGAGCCAAUAGAGGUGGACCCCGCCCCAACACAUGCUGGAUUGGAGAAUGGACAUGCUGCUACCACAGAACAUUCAGAGUUGGUACACGGAAAAAUCUCUCCACCCAAUGACUUCCCACAUGAGCACACAGCCCCUGUCGCCAUGCGGAUGCCCCACCUCCCCAUCACCGCUACCACCAAGACGGCAGAAAUGAAGGGCCCCGACUCUCCCAGCAGCCCUGUUGGUUCUCGCUCCUCUCCAGUCCCUGAGGCCUCACUUACCGGCCAAUCAGCUACUAGCACCAACCAGACCCAACCAAUAGAGGAGUCUUCAAUUCAACCAGUGUCUUCUACAUGGACCCCGACACCUAUCAGAGCUCUGGGAUCUCCCCGCCUUCAAGAUAAAGCAAAUUCAGCCCCAGCUAAGUCUGUCACCUAUUCAGGGCUAUUGCAGCAUGACAGAGACGGUGAUGUAAGCGGCGACAGAUCCUUUGGGCAGGUCGGAGAGAGGAGGCGGGAGUUGGUGAGGUCGCAGACUCUGCCACGCAACAUUGGCGCUCAGGCUCGUCGCUCUAUCUUUGAAAGGCUGGACUCUGAAGCCAGUAACAGUCGCCCCAAACCAGUGGACUCUAAACCCAAACUGAAGCGAUCUCAAAGUUUUGGGGUGUCCAGUGCCAGCAGCAUCAAACAGAUCCUUCUUGAGUGGUGUCGCUCCAAGACCAUAGGCUACCAGAACAUUGACAUCCAGAACUUCUCGUCCAGCUGGAGCGAUGGGAUGGCUUUCUGCGCUUUGGUCCACUCCUUCUUCCCCACUGAGUUUGACUAUAACUCACUAUUGCCCGCCAACCGCAAACACAACUUUGAACUGGCCUUUGGAACUGCAGAAGUAAAGGCAUGCUGCGACCGGCUGAUCGAGGUGGAGGACAUGAUGAUCAUGGGUCGUAAACCAGACCCCAUGUGUGUCUUCACCUACGUCCAGUCCCUCUACAACCACCUGCGCAAGUUUGAGUGAAGCUCAAAAGCAAAAGGAUGUAAUUUCCUCUUCUCCUUUUAGACUUCACCUUUUUGAACCUCUUCUUCCUUCUUUGUACCCAUCUGUGAGCUGAUUAGAGAUCCAGAGCAGGCAUGGGAGCACUUUGAAAAGACUACACUACCCCCUGGUGGUAGAUUAGUGAAUAAUCCUCCACAUGCAGGAAAAGUGCUCACAUACACAGUGGACAUUGACUCAUGGGGAUAAUUGUGUGUGUGUGUGUGUGUGUGUGUGUGUGUGUGUGUGUGUGUGUGUGUCUAAUGUUAACUGUAUACGAAGAUGAAUUUACAAGUAAUGUCUGGGUUGGUUUGUCAACAGUAGUUUUUUCUGUGUGUGUGUGUGUGUGUGUGUGUGUGUGUGUGUGUGUGUGUGUCUGUGUGUGUGUGUGUGUGUGUGUGUUUUUGUGUGUUUUAUGUUUUAGCGGCUGCAGGCGAGGACGUGGAGAUUAGGUCAAAUGAUAGUCCUUGUUGACAUCUGACAAGUCGAGGUGUUUUAUUCAAUCUUCUCAACAUUGUGAUUGAGAUUACAGUUGAAAGGGAUCAGAGAAGCUGAAGGGAGGCAUCAGGACUUUCCCUGUAGGGAUAAAUGUAUGUAGUCUCCAUAGAAUGGAAAAUCCUAAAGCCUCUUCUCUUCACAACUGGGAUUCCUGUUGAGGCUCCUCAGGGACUUAUGCAUGGUUUGUGUUUGUCCAUAUA